rnacentral:lncRNA from 11 species
UGGGCCCAUUUCUUCAAGCAGACUAUUAGUCUGUGCUAGGGAACUACAGAAUAUAUAGAAAGAAAGUUGCCUGAGGAACAUUACAGAAGUUACCUUUUAUGUUGCCAUAAGUACAGAAGAAAAUGUUUUAUUUGUAUGUGUGAACAUUAAAUUUAAUAAUUUCUGUCUUGUGAUAUGCAGUUUCAAUUGAUUUGUAGGUUCCUGCAAAAAAUAUUGUAGUGACGGAAUAAAGGGAAUGAAUUAACUACAGCUCACCUAAGAAACAAAAUAAGGAUUUGUCACUACCAACUACAGUUCUCCAUUAAUUUAGCUUUUUCGUGACAGCCAAUAAUAGUAUAUCCAGAAUGAAUUUAUUAUACUUCUCUUCUUGCCUACAAAAAAGGUGUAUUUAUGAAAGACAGCCUGCAAGUAUUCCCACAGCUUUCACUAUUUUCUUCUUCUGAUCUUUGGAUGAAUGACUUCCACAAAGAGUUUGGGAAACUCCUUAACAAGCAGCUUAUAGAUUAAGCCAGUGUUCCUUCCAGCCAUAUCCACCAAUGUUACAAAGAAAAAAAAAGAAAAAAAAAGGGGGGGGGGGUAAUAAAGGAGCCAGUGUCUCUGGUGGGAAGGCACAAGCCCUGAUUGCAAGAAGACAUGUGCAGUACAGCAACUUGAGGCGUUUCCCAUUCCAUACCAAGAACAGUCUGGAAAUGAAACAAGACCCAGGCUCUAAUAAAGUGGAUUCUUUCCAAGCAUUUGAGAAGCUUUGGACAGCUGCAAUUAGGAUGGGAAGUUUCAGAGUCUGGGGCGAAACGAGAAAACAUUCGAACCAAAACCAUUUCUCACCUAGAACCAAGCUGAAUGCACUUGUCCAAUGAGCUGCAAGGAGAUAAACAAAGUGACUGAGAUCUCAUGGAAGAACUGCUCAGAUGACUUGGUGUGUGAAGAAGAGCUAUUGUUUGCCAGUGUCAAAUGCACAGAAGAUUCUGUAGAAACAAGCAAGGCAACAACAAACCUUUUGGAGUUUCAAGACAGCUUGGAAAAAGGCCAGAUGAACAACUGUAAAGAAGGCCCCCUUCCCAACAAUGGCAUCUCAACAAGCCAAAGCUCCUUGCAGUGCCACUUUGUCAGCCUGAAGCAGCAGAUUGCCCAGCAGAAGGCAGAGUACGAAGCAAAGGUUUUCAGCCUAGAGCAACAGAACGAAGAAUUACAGCUAGAGAUUAAGGAUCUGCAUUCAAAACUAGGACAGCACCGGAAGUGGUAUCAUUUGGUGGAAAUUAAAAUGCGCAAUGCGGAGAGGGCACAUGAAGAUGCAGAGAGAAGGAAUCAACUCCUUCAGAAGGAAAUGGAAGAAUUUUUUGAUACUUUUGGAGAACUGACAAAUGAAAUAAAGACACCAGGGCAAGCUGCUCAACAUUUUUAGAUGCUCGUUGGCCUGAAAAUGAAACAAUGCCUUCUAAAUUACUAUUCAAAUGAAAAAGGUAAAAAUCCUGGACUUUUCUUUUCAAAUCAAUAUAAUCAGAGCAUUAUAAAAGAUGCUUCUUGCUUAUAUUUUAAAUAAAACAUUUAAAUUGUACUUUAUAGAUUGGCAUUCCAUACAUUUUGUAGAAAACCAAAAUUAUUCUCUGUAAAGAAUUAAAAAAAAAACAGGAUUAAGAUGUUAAUUAAGAGGGAGGAAAUGGAAUAUGGAAAAAUUUGGAAUGAAGCAAAUUUUUGAAAAAUGUCAGGUGCUAGGAAAGGCUGCAAAAGGAAGCUAUUGGUACUACUAUCAAAAUUGUGGUAAAUCUCAGCCUGGUGCCCACAAAAGGAGAAAAGUAGAGGACAGAAUGCUUGGGAUAACUCUGAAGUGUGAAAUCAUUUUCCAGGCUUUUGCAAUCAAUUCAAAAUAUUACAAGGUGCAAAAAACACAGGAAGACUACAAGGCUCCAUCAUUGGCCACAAAAAUGUGCUGGGAAAUCUCACAUGUCACGAUGCUCAGAUGGUUAUUGCAGUAAAUGGAAACAUGGAAAAGCUGGAGAAUAAACACACAUUUUCAGAAAAGUAGGGCUACUAUUCAGAAAAAAGGAGGCAGCUAGAAUCAUCCACCCAUUAUCUUUAAAAAUAUUGUAACAUUGAAAUAAAAUAACUUGAAACAGAGAGUAGGACAAGGGAAAUAAAAGUAUCUUUGUUAAAUCUGUAGUUACAACUGUUUAGUUUUUUAUGUGUCAGAAGCAACUUGAAGAACUGCUGUUUAGUUAAAAUGAUAACAUAUUCAUGUUGUUAAGAAAAAAAGAGCAAUAAGAAGAGUAUCUCCUAUCUGGAAUUUCAAAAUCUAAAUUUCUCCAAAUUCAAAAUUGCUGAGAAAGUGAUAACUUUAUUUUCUGAUGGUUCAAUGCACAGAAACAUUACUUCAUGCACAAAAUUAUUAAAAAUAUUGUGCGUAAGAUUACCACUGGGAUAUGUGUAUAAGGUGUAUGUGAAACAUCAAUAAAUUUUGUGUUUUGACUUGGGUCCCAUCUCCAAUAACUGGAAAAAAAUCCCAAAUAUAGAUAAGAGAUACUCAACAUGUGCUGAUAGCCUUGCCAAAAUUUAGCAGAGCUCCAAGAACAUUUUUCAGCAUUGCUUCUAAAACUCUAGUCACAGUUCUUUCAUUACAAAUAGAUUGGAUUGCUUCUCUACAGUAACAUGCUGGAUAUAACAGUUCUUCAUGCAGUUUCUGAAACUGCCUUAGGAUGUCACCUUGACUUACAGGAUUAUGAACUCUUCAGUUGGAAUGCUUUGGUCAUGAUGCCCAAAAAUGGAAACCUCUUUUCCACUUGUCAUGUUGCCUGUUAUAAAGCAGGACUGAGUACAACACAGCUUUAUACAUGAUAAAAGUCCAGGUUAGUACAUUAUGAGACAUGAAAAAGUGAGGAAGAGUUAUCAAUGGGUUUAUUUAGUUGGGUUUAUUUUUAACCAGUUCCACUACUUUCAUUGAAACAGGAAAAAGAUGGAAAUAUUUGUUAAUUAACAUGCUUCAGAAAGUAUAUCCAAGUUGUGUUGUCGAAGGCUUUCAUGGCCGGGAUCACAGGGUUGUUGUAUGUCUUUCGGGCUGUGUGGCCAUGUUCCAGAAGUAUUCCCUCCUGACAUUUCGCCCACAUCUAUGGCAGGCAUCCUCAGAGGUUGCGAGGUACCUCG